GUUUGCUAUAUGUGAAGCUAAAAUUCAAAAUAAUUAAAAGUCAUGUUAUUGAAAGUGCUGCCUGAGGAAAAGAAGCAAAUGCAAAUGAAUUGAUAAUGGAUACAAGUGUAUUUACAUUAAAAAUCAGACAACAAAAAAGAGAUUCGGUUCUGGAAAACAUAAAUCCAAUAAGCAAUUGAAAUCAUCUUGUAUGCCUGCUGUACGAGCCAACUUCAAAGCGGAAAAUUAAGUCGCAUUGGUAAUUCAAUGACAAUCGAACUGACGCACGGAAAAUUUUGCCGAAGGGGAGCUGCUGCUGCUGCUGCUGCUGUUGCAGACAAAUCACAGCCAUGUCCUUGAAUGGCAAAUUGCGACACAGCAAAAUAAUAACAGCUCGUGAAGGUAAACAUGUUCGGGAACCGACGCGACGCGCAAGGAUGGCACCAACACAACAAUCAGUAAAGCGCUCUUCAGGAACAGUCUUUCCAGGACAUAUACAUAUGUACAUACAUGCCAAGGAUGCCAGACUGCACACACGCACACGCACACGCACGCCGACUUCAAGGAUUCACGCGCCCUCUCACCCAGCCACUCGGCACUUUCACUUUUCUCCUUCGUGAAGCAUGGACGACGACCAGGUCGGGUUCAUGGCAGUCCGAAACAUCGGGACCUUGAACACUUGUGGGCGUCGCCAGUGUUGCCACUCCGUCACCCAUAAACUGUGGGCGCUCGCUUCUCGCAAGCCACUUGUGUAUUCCUUAUGCUGCCGCGCGCGUUCA
rnacentral:sRNA from 1 species